GACGAAGGAUGCAAUCGUUAUCCGGAUUCAUUGGGCUUAAAGGGAGCGUAGGCGGCCCUGUAAGUCAGUGGUGAAAUCUUUGGGCUUAACCCAAAAAUUGCCAUUGAUACUGCAGGGCUUGAGUACAGUUGCCGUUGGCGGAAUAUGACAUGUAGUGGUGAAAUACAUAGAGAUGUCAUAGAACACCGAUUGCGAAGGCAGCUAACGAAACUGUAACUGACGCUGAGGCUCGAAAGUGCGGGGAUCAAACAGG
rnacentral:rRNA from 1 species